UCUACGGAGAGUUUGAUCCUGGCUCAGAACGAACGCUGGCGGCGUGGAUUAGGCAUGCAAGUCGAACGGUUCCGUGUUGUUUUUUUGCGGGAUAGUGGCGAAAGGGUGAGUAACACGUGGGAAACCUGCCCUAGAGUUUGGGAUAACCAAUCGAAAGAUUGGCUAAUACCGGAUACGUUGCGCUUCUGAAAUGAGGCGCAGGAAAGAUGGGGACCUCUUCGGAGGCCUGUCACUCUUGGAUGGGCCCGCGGCCUAUCAGCUAGUUGGUGAGGUAAUGGCUCACCAAGGCUAAGACGGGUAGCUGGUCUGAGAGGAUGGUCANNNNNNNNNNNNNNNNNNNAAACUGCUGUCAGCAGGGAAGAAAGGAUCCCGGUUAAUAACUGGAGAUCUGUGACAGUACCUGCAGAGGAAGCCACGGCUAACUCUGUGCCAGCAGCCGCGGUAAUACAGAGGUGGCAAGCGUUGUUCGGAUUUAUUGGGCGUAAAGGGUCCGUAGGCGGUCCGGAAAGUCGGGUGUGAAAUCCUACAGCUUAACUGUAGAACUGCACUCGAAACUCUCGGACUAGAGUAUGGAAGAGGUAAAGGGAAUUCCCGGUGUAAGGGUGAAAUCUGCAGAGAUCGGGAGGAACACCAGUAGCGAAGGCGCUUUACUGGUCCAUUACUGACGCUGAGGGACGAAAGCUAGGGGAGCAAACGGGAUUAGAUACCCCGGUAGUCCUAGCCGUAAACUAUGUUCACUAGGUGUCGGGGGGGUUAAACCCUUCGGUGCCGACG
rfam:Omnitrophica bacterium GWA2_52_8 gwa2_scaffold_8654, whole genome shotgun sequence.